GACGAACGCUGGCGGCGUGCCUAAUACAUGCAAGUCGAACGCAGUGGGGACGGGUGAUUAACACGUGGGUAACCUCCCAUCAGAGGGGAUAACCCUUGGAAACAGGUGCUAAACCGAUACUGAUGGAUGGACUCGCGGGGCAUUAGCUAGUUGGUGAGGUAACGGCUCACCAAGGCCACGAUGCAUAGCCGACCGGCGAGGGUGAGCAGCCAAACUGGGACUGAGACACGGCCCAGACUCCUACGGGAGGCAGCAGUAGGGAAUAUUGGGAAAUGGACGAAAGUCUGACCGAGCAAUGCCGCGUGAAUGAAGAAGGUUUUCGGAUCGUAAAGCACUGUUGUUAAGGAAGCGGUAUCUAACCAGAAAGCCACGGCUAACUACGUGCCAGCAGCCGCGGUAAUAC
rnacentral:rRNA from 1 species